AGCAUCACCAUGUAGGUCUGGGAAAGGCCCCUGUCUGCAACCCUGGAGAUGCCUGUCAGGCAAGGUAGACAAUACUAUGCUUGUUUGACCAAUUGUCCAACUUGGUGUAAGGCAACUUCCUAUUUUGUUAAAACAUAGCUGUUUGUGUGUGCCUCCUCAAUCAGUUGUUGUUGUUUAGUCGUUUAGUCGUGUCCGACUCUUCGUGACCCCAUGGACCAGAGCACGCCAGGCACAUCUGUCUUCCACUGCCUCCCGCAGUUUGGUCAAACUCAUGCUGGUAGCUUUGAGAACACUAUCCAACCAUCUCAUCCUCUGUCGUCCCUUCUCCUUGUGCCCUCCAUCUUUCCCAACAUCAGGGUCUUUUCCAGGGAGCCUUCUCUUCUCAUGAGGUGGCCAAAGUAUUGGAGUCUCAGCUUCACGAUCUGUCCUUCCAGUGAGCACUCAGGGCUGAUUUCCUUAAGAAUGGAUAGGUUUAUUCUUAGUGCAAUGGCAGAAAGUUUUACUAACUUGAGUAGCUACAGGUUUGCCAUUAUUUCUGACUGUUUCAUGCAUCACUCCUAUUUCAGAAUAUUAAUAAGAAAAAGGGUAUCAGUUUAUUAAGGAACAAGCUCAUUCCUCUAUAAUGCUUAAAAAAACAACAUUACUGCAACCUCCUUGCUUCCCCCAAAUUCCCUGCUUUUAUUGAUUUAUGGUGCACAAUGACUUUAUUUCUAAUUAAUUCUGCUCAGUAUUCUAAAUUAUUUAUAAGCCUACAGUUGUGAUAUACUUUUGUUUACUGCACCACAACUCUUCCACCUGCAGUAAACACUAAAGGACUCAGAAGAGGGAAAAUGCAGUUCAAGUGCUUUAUGCAAACUAAAAAAAAAUGCAGCAUUUUGCAAUUCAUUAAAAUGCUCUUUCUAUGAAUGUAAUUGGAUCCAUUUCAGUUCUGCACCUGAAUAAAAUGUGCAGUGACAGCAGAAGAGCUUGCUGUAUUGUUCAAUUUUAUAUAAUAAUGUCCAGUUGUUCCCCCUUAAAACAGUUUUCAAAGACUUUAAAGGACUUUUUAAAACUAGGUCUUAAUUUCUGAACAAUUUUGGGGCUUGGAGGCAUGUUUGGAAAUCUAAAUUUGGUGUGAGAACCACAAAAUGCCUGUUUAACUUUUUAAAAAAGAAAUGGGAGGGGCAGAGAGACUUGGCAGGCAUGAAAUAAGGUGUCUGAGGGCCUUGUGGUAGUGCAACUAUUACAGGUUUUGUGUGCCAAAAAAUGUUAAUAUUGAUGAAGAAAAAAUGUUCUAACAAUGACAUCCUUUUUCAUGUCAAUCUUUGGGACAUUAAUAGAUAAUCUUGAGUAAUCAUAAUAUAGAUAUGAUUUUUCAAAUGUGAAUUCAACCUCUCUUUAUAGGAAAGAUGUUGCAUAUUAUAUCCCACUGGUUGUUUGUAAGGCUGGUCUCUAAAAAAAUGUAAUUUUGUAUUGAAGCUUUAGGCAACUUCUUAGAAGAUAGAGCAAUAAACUCAGUCUUCUUACCUUUUCAUUUGGUUGUCAGAUGAAACAUAAAGGGAAAGGGUAAAGGGACCCCUGACCAUUAGGUCCAGUAGUGACCGACUCUGGGGUUGCGGCGCUCAUCUCGCUUUAUUGGCCGAGGGAGCCGGGUCAUGUGGCCAGCAUGACUAAGCCGCUUCUGGCAAACCAGAGCAGCGAACGGAAAUGCUGUUUACCUUCCCGCCGGAGCGGUACCUAUUUAUCUACUUGCACUUUGACGUGCUUUCGAACUGCUAGGUUGGCAGGAGCAGGGACCGAGCAACGGGAGCUCACCCCGUCACGGGGAUUCGAACCGCUGACCUUCUGAUUGGCAAGUCCUAGGCUCUGUGGUUUAACCCACAGCGCCACCCGCGUCCCUUGGUGAUGAAACAUAAUGCAGAGCAAAAAUUACUCUUACAGAUCAGCACAAUGUAAGCUAAAUAUAGUCCAACAGUCAUAUAUUGUCCCCUUCCAGGUGCUUGACAAAUCACUUGCUCUUGCAGCUUUGGACAAGCAGCAAAACGUAGAAGUUUAUCAAGCCCCUGAUAUGUUACCACAGUCAGCAUGAUUAGAGUUGUGCAGACCUGCAUUAUUAUGAGCAAAUCUUUCCAUGUUGUUAGAGGGCAAUAACAUAUUUUGGUUGUAUCAAAACAUACAUGCACGUAUGAUUGGAAUAACUGGAAUGGUUACAUGCUUUUGGAGUGCUUUUUAAGCUUGGACUUAAAUUGUGAAGGUUGAGUGGCUAGCUGCCUAGCCCUGAGCUAUCAUGCAGAGAGCUAUAAGAAUACAUUAAGCUUCAUCCCUAGAUUGCAUUUAAGACUCUUACUUAAAUUCUUUGCUGGGUCAGCUCUAGAAUAAACACCUAGCAAGGCUAGCUCCAUAUGCCUCUUAUCCCAGUGACAAUCACAAAGUUUACCAUUUAUUUUGAUGGAUGAAAAUGGCACCUUAGCGGCCUGAUCCAUAACCAAUUAUGUCAAAGUACUUGGGCUUAGAUCAGUUUAUUCUUACAGGUUUCAAGAGCCAUCAUUAGGUGAAGAUUUAUGCCCAUUGAAGCCUAUAAGAACUUAAGGUGAACUUAUCAGUUAAUAGGUUACAGAUUGGUUGUAAAAUAUUUGUGUGCUUCAGUGACCACCAUAUAAAUAUCAGGAAGCAAAUUUCUCUUUGUUUGCUUGCUUAUUUUAAGAGUUUUUAAAGGCCACUUAGUAAAAAAACAAACAACCUCUUACUCAUUUGACGGUGAAAAAUAAUUAUUAAAAAAUAUAGAUAAAAUCAGCAGUACUGAAAUGCAAGUAUACAUAAUAAAAUUACAUGCUUGGAUAGGCUUGCUGAAGUAAAACCUUUUUUUAGCAGGCAUCUAUAGUGAAGGCUGCUGCCUGAGGCAGGAAGUCCAGGACAUGAGUGCUGCCACACUAAAAAAAUCAAGUCUUUGCAGAUGCAGUACGAAUAUUACAUGGCCCUUUAAAAAGUGCAUGCUCUGCAGAUUGACGCAUUUGAUAGUUCUCUGCCUGGGCACUUGAAUUAUCGUAGGACAACGUUAUUACGUUUAAAUUUCUUUUCACAAUGCUACAGUUGCUUCAUACCCACACCCCAGAGAAAGUUACACUGGAGACUAAGGCAGUGAAGUCAGUAUUUCAUAAGUGCACAGCCGGAUGGCAGGCAGCCCUCUCCUUUGACCUGUGACCAUGCCUGUGUGGCACCAGUCCUGUACCAGCAGAGUGCCAAUCUCACCACUGACAGUAAAGUUGCCAGGUGCUCGGUUGCUACCUAAUAUCAUACCACCACCACCCCAUCAUGUCAACAGCGUGCAAAAAGAAUGUGACUUGAAUGUCCGGAAGUAUUUUUAUUAACUUUUCAGGCAAAAUCAGUGGAAACAGAAGAAUGCCUUAAUAAAAUAUUUGGAAAGCAGUUGCCAAAUGGGAAUGCUGUAAGGCAGAUUAAUCUGUGACUUUCAGGGGUAAAUGGUCUGAUCACAAUUCAAGUACAGUGGUGCCUCGGGUUAAGUACUUAAUUCGUUCCGGAGGUCCGUUCUUAAGCUGAAACUGUGCUUAACCUGAAGCACCACUUAUCUAAUGGGGCCUCCUGCUGCUGCCGCGCCGCCGGAGCACAAUUUCUGUUCUCAUCCUGAAGCAAAGUACUUAACCCGAGGUACUAUUUCUGGGUUAGCGGAGUCUGUAACCUGAAGCGUAUGUAACCUGAAGCAUCUGUAACCUGAGGUACCACUGUAUCAGGCUGAGCCCUUCUACAGCUUAUUCUAUAUGAGCACUUGAUAAACCUAGUGCAGCAGGCAGAUUUAAUUACCUGUACCCAUUACACAUUUUUCAGAGUUUACAUAUAGCUGAUGAUAUGGCAAAAAACAACUGGCUGUGGACAAUAUUUCCAAAGGUUAUUGCCACUGGAUUUAAUACAUAUUUUGCCAAAGCAUAAUAACUUCAAUGACUCUGACUCUUUAUUCAGAUUUAAUUUAUCACACAUUAUUAUGCUAGAGCUGCUGAUAUUUUUCCAGCUCUUGUUAUCUUUUGUUGUAGUAUGUUUUCUUAACUUAGUUACUUCCACAGGAAAAGCUGCAGCAGGAAUAUUUCUGUUGCACUUAACCUUCCUUUGAGCAAAGCCACCUCUACUGAUUAUGUAUUUUUUUUUGUCCUACUGCACUGCAAACUGACUUCUUUGUCCUUCACCUCAGGAUAGGUUGCUGCCAAUGUAAACUUCCUUCCCUAGUUCACGAAUACUUAAUGACGCCUAUAGUCUCUUCUAACUUGACCUAAAUUCCUGCUCUUACCAUCUGUGAUGGCCACCACCCUCACCUUUUAAGAUACACCGUCAAAUUAAGCUCGCAUGUUCACUAGUGUCUUUCGAGAAAUAGUGUGAGUGUGAAAGGGUUCCUCAGACCUAUUGCCUCCUUUUGUCCUGAAACACUUCCUACUCACCUGAUAAGUUACACAGCUUUGCCCAUCUAAGCGCCAGACUAUAAAUGCCUUUAACUGCAUGAGUGUAAUUAAAGUGCACAUUUAGUUAAUACAGAGCUGCAAGGGAGCCUGAGCAGCAUGAGAACUAUCAGAUAUGAUGGGGAGGGAGAAUUUUACCCUUUCCUCCUCUCAUGGUCCCACAUCACUGACAUGCAUAUCCACACCAUAAAUUUAAAGUACGUACAUUCAAUGCACAUUUAAAGCACAUGACUUCCCCCGAAGAAUCUUGGAAACUUUAGUUCCACCUCACAGAGCUACAAUUCCCAGCACCCUUAGGAAACUACACAAGAGUUUUUCACAUUAUAUUAAGCUCCAGCUCCUCCACUUGAUUGAGCACCCCAAAGCAUAAUUCUUCAUCCAAACACUCCUCUCUGUCUCUGUCUCUCUCUUUGAAAAGGAGUGUUUCUUCUAUGACACAUGUCCAGGAAUCACACAUUUGAGUAGGAUGCUGUAGGAUGACAGUGUAGUCAGGUGUGAGUUUGUUUAGCUAAUUCAGCAAAUUUUCGACAGUAGAGAACCAGCCUGGAAGUUAUAAUUGUUUUAUUUCUACAUUGUUACCCCACCCUUCUUUCAAGGAGCUCCGAGCUUAGGACUGUGCAUGAUUGUUCCCUUUAUUAUUAAAAAAAUAUAUAUUCAAAAUUGGGGGUUGUCUUAUACAUGGAUAGUGCAAAUUGUGGAUGGCCAAUUGUUGGCAUCCGUGAGCAGGAGAUUGUCAGCAGCGAUUGGGCGUGUGAUUGGUGGUUGCAUCAAGGCGUGCUGGCGAUUGCUGCUGCAGCAAUUGGGUGGGCGAUUGGCAGUGGCAGUCAGGUGGUUGAGCAUUUGUCAGCAAUCAAAAACUCUGGGCCAUCCCCCCCCCCCAAAGCUCAACAACUCUGGGCAAUCUCCCCCUAUUUCCUUAAUUUGGGGUCCCAAAAAAUACCGGUCGUCUUAUACACAGGGACGUGUUAUACACGGAAAAAUACGGUACAUUAGGCUAAGAAAGUGUCUUCAGUUUAACAAGUGGGACCUGCAAACCAUGCUGCUGUUCAGCAUUCCAAGAUACUCCCAUUACAUUUCCUACCCAUUCCUAACCUUAAUGUCCACCCCCAAAACAGUCAGUGCACUUAGUCCUUUGCUUCUUUUUUCCUAACUGUUUUUGGUACUUCUUCAAAUCCUUUUUGCUUUCUUGAGCCUCUUGGUACUUUGCUCUUGUGUGUAGAUGGUAUAACUUUAGAUACUGAAACACCAGCACUCACUCCUAAACAUUGAAAUAAGAGGAGCGAUGACACAUUAUUGUUACUUUCAUUACUGGUACAAAUACUCUGUAAACUGUGUGCUUUUCCACUUAAAGGACAAAAUUCAGUCAAUGGGAUUUGCAAGAACCCCUUUUCCACCCAAAGCCAAUAAAUCAUUUUAUCUAAAACUAACAUAACUCCUUCCCUCUUCAGGGCAUUUCAGGUUUAUCUUGUUAUUUCUCAUACAAUUAUCCAUAUAUAGAAAAGCGAGACUGAAAUGUUUAUUUCUUUAAAGUAUACCAUCUCCUUCACUGCUUAUUCAUCCUCUGAAACUGCAAUCAUCUGGGUCAACAUAAUCAUCUCCAUAGCAACCAAACUGAUAAAGAUACGUGUGUUUUCUUUCCAAAAAUACAGAAAAAAAAGAAUACCCAGAGGGAGAAUUUAUCCCUCCUUUGUUGUGCCUGUUUUCAAACUUUGUUAGCCAAUCAACAGGCAAAAAUAAGACAAUGAACAGAUGAAUUAAACAGUUUGUGAGUAGAGCACAAUUUGUUUUCCAACUUUUCUGGAGAGGGGUGUUUAUAAUGCAGCAUUGCUGGAAAUUAGUUAGAAUUAAUGAGUAGGGCUUAGUUUGAGGUAUAAGUUAAUCUUGUCAAAUGGUUUGACCCAGUGUAAUUAGCAGUGUUGAACAUCUGCUACCAUCAGUUUACUUCCACCUGUUCAUAUUUCUAAAUUGGUCUCAGGCUUCUCCAGUGAUCUGACUGUAACCAGCAGUUAAAUGACCUUUCUUUGGUAACAAUUGGAGGAAGUUGAGAGUGGAAAUAGGAAGGUUCUGCAAUUACAUACCACAAACAUUCUGGAAAUUCAUGUCAGUCUUCUAAUGAAGAUAAUGCACAUCUACUCCGUCACAGUGGGGUUGUUAAAAUUGUUUUGCCAGAAUGUUAAAGCACACAUUUCCCUUUUACUGGUUAUCAUCUGUAUACUAUGAAAAUUAACAGCACCAUGUAUAAGCAGCUUAAAAUAUAGAUGUUUACUUUUUACCUGCAUGUGUAUUUAAGUCAAGUUUCAUAUUGAUAAAGGGAGUUGAAAAGCUAAAGGCCAUUCUGGCAAUUAUUAUUUGUCACAGAACAGGGGUGACGCAUGAAACUUGUGGAAUCUGCAAAACACAUCUGUGUUAUUCCUUUUUGUUGGUGACACAUCUUCAUUAUUCCAUGUGUCAGAGUCACGACAUGAGAAAAUGAAAUAAUGUUAUCUAUUUUUCAACCGCAUCACUAUGGGAAAUGUGCAGACCAAUCUUAUCCAUGCUUACUUGGAAGUAAGUCCCACAGAGUUCAGGGGGACUUAAUCCCAAAGUGUAAAUAGAAUCUCAGCUUUAUUGUCAGCACUAUAGUAGAAAGCUAAAUUUCUGUUAAAGCACAGCACAUGUGACAAAAAUUACUAAAACAAAGGGAAGCAGUGGAUUGCAACUUCUCUCUAGGUUAUUUUGAAAGAAAAUCUGCCCCAUACUGCCUGUGUCUUGACUACAAAUGGAACAAAGGGUUGUUUUUAAUAUGCAAGGCUUCUCAACAAUUAUAUUGAUUGCUGCUUUAAGAGUUCUAAAUGCUAACACAUAGGAUGAAAAUAAUUAUAUUACCAGAUUAAAAUAAAUUAAACCUCCAGUUUUGUCCAGGUAUAUUAAUUGUGGACCCAGUGCCCAUUACUGUUAAAUGGAUGACAUCUGGGAAAUGAUGUUUCCCAGACUUUGACUUCAAAUGUUUUCUAUGUUGCUUGUUCAGGAUUGGGAACUGGAAUAAGUGUUAUGACAGGAUGUAGCCAUGUAGAAUGUGGUAAUUCUUACCCGUGUUUAUUUUAUGUAAUUUCACAUUUUAGCAGUGUCCCUUUUCAUAAAAUCCUUGGCGCAGAAAUUAAUGGCCUGGCUGUCGCAAGUUUGCAUAUGCUCCAACUACACCAGAUGCAACAGCAGGUGCUUUUCUUUUCUUUCCUUUCUUUUUUUAAAUUGGAUCAUAACCCAUUUCCCCAACACUGGAGUGCCAGGCUAGGCAAAACAAAGGACCUCUGAGAUAGCAAGGUGCCUCCAUAUGUCAGGUGCAGAACAGAAUAAAAGCUCAUUGGAAUCCAGAUCUAAGGAAGGAAUAGGUACUGGCAUACUUUCCUGACAAGGGAUCUAGUGCUUAGAAAUUUUGUUGCUUCCCCGACUACCAAGCAGGGAAAGACUGUGCAAAACUUACUUAAUAUGAGAAGGCAAAAUCAGGUUUGUUUGUUUUUUAUAAAAAGUAACAUGAAUAAAGAAAAGAAACAUGGUCCAAACUCUGGACUAAAUUACUUUCUCUAGAUACAAUGACUCUUGUAGCCUUGGAGAGCAAAUUUUAAGUUUGACACCUGCUGAAGAAGUGUAGUUAGGUUACACAAGCUGUAGAGACCAAUGACCCAAAAUGUAUGUUCAGUUGACCCAGAUAUGACAAACUGAAGGCAGCCAGGUAGAUAAUUUAGGAGUUACAUAAACUUUAAUCUUCCAGGUGGUGGAUCAAAGACAUGGUAAUAAGUAGCACAAUUAAGUCUACAUCACAGUUUCUCUGACUCAAAGACUAGUACACAAAAAGGUCAGGCAUAAACAUGGUUGUUUAUUUCCUACUAGGAUUUCCCCUGCGAAUCUCUUAACUAAAAGCAAUUAGAGCUGUAUACAUGCCUUCUCAAAAUUCCAACCCUAUUUGUGGCAGAGAAGUUGUGGGGGGUGGGUGGAAUAAUAAUAAUAAUAAUAAUAAUAAUAAUAAUACUGCAUUUAUUAAUUUAUACACCACUUGGUUGCCAAAUUGAAUUCUAGGCAGUUUACAUGUAUAAAACCAGUUAUAAAAACAUGGCCAUGCAUAAUGAAAAAAUACAAUGAAAUAAUUUCAUCCAACCUUCAAACAUUCAUAAUUAAGACCUACAAUAAACAAAGUGAUUUAAAUAGCAUACCAGUUAUACCAGCAGUUAAAACAAAGCUGGAGGUUCAGUCAAGAGGUCAGGAAUAUUUGUCUAAAUCAGGGGUUAGCAAACUUUUUCAGCAGGGGGCUGGUCCAUUGUCCCUCAGAACUUGUGAGGGGCCAGACUAUUUUUUUUGGGGGGGGGGAUGAACGAAUUUCUAUGCCUCACAAGUAACCCAGAGAUGCAUUUUAAAUAAAAGCACACAUUCUACUCAUGUAAAAACACCAGACAGGCCCCACAAAUAACCCAGAGAUGCAUUUUAAAUAAAGGGACACAUUCUACUCAUGUAAAAACAUGCUGAUUCCUGGAUCGUCCACGGGCUGGAUUGAGAAGGCGACUGGGCCGGAUCCAGCCCCUGGGCCUUAGUUUGCCUACCAAUGAUCUAAAUAGUUGUGCUUUCAAUACCUUCAAAAUUAUCCACGUUUCUUGGGGAUUUGGCUUACCAUUAACAGUUCCAGUAGUACUGUUUUUCUUUCUACCCUAAGUUUUAUUUUUGCUCCCUGGCUGCCAUUUUCCAUCCUCCACAUUUUUGUUAGGGGGCAGGCUUUUGUUGGGGGGGGGCAGAACCUCAGAUUUGUAUUGAUUUUUACUUAUUGAGGGUCAGCUACCCCCUGCCCCCCUUGGCUACACCCACGGGGGGGGGGCACAGGAAGGAAACAAGUUCAGAAGGGGGCUAUGGUCAGAAAAAGCUUGGGAAACACUGCCCUAGAAGACCUAGCAUAAUUCUAGAGCAAUAGAGGAGGAAAUGGUGACAGUUUCGUUGUCCUGGAAUUAUGUUAGGUCUUCUAGGGCAUUGUGGAGGGUGAAAAAUUAUAUAUACUGAAAAUACUGAAGCAAACAAUUGAUCUAUCUAGAUCGUUAUUGUCUAUAUAGUUACUGGCAGGAGGUCUCCAGGGUUUCAGAUGGAAGAUGCAAUGCAGAGUUGCAAUAAAACAUGAUAUCAAACAAAACCAUAAGAUAUUUAAGGUAUUUUCUGUCCUAGGGCAUUUCUGAUAUGACACUCAGCUCUACUUCUCUAUUACAAUUGAACCAAGUGAGGCUGUGCAAGCCCUUAACCAGUGCCUGAGUGCAUUGAUGAGGGCCAAUAUACUAAGCUUGAAUCCUAUGGAGGCACAAUGAGAGUGAGUGAGUGAGUGAGUGAGUGAAUGAGUACCAUGUGUAGGGGAAACCUACUGUGGAAUACAUUUGUAUUAUAAGGACAUAGGUUGAUUGGAUUGUACGAAUCUUCCCUACUUAUUGGCACCUUUGGUAAUUGCAAGGGUUUUUGGUUUGCUUUAUUGUUUAGAUUUACUGUUUGUGCUCCAGGGAUAAGUGGCAGCAGGACGUGGGAAUAUCCACUGGUGGGUCAGCAGUAGGAUGAGUUCCUGCAGGCAGUAGAGCAGCUGCAGAGUUGCUUAACCAUGCUGGCCCUUGUAUACUGGCCUAGCUUAACAGGGGAAAUGAAUUUAGGUAUUAGGCCAGCCAACACAUAGCCGCUAAGGGUUCAGAGUAUAUAAACCUUUUAGGUAGGGUCUGUCCCCCGGAGCUUUGAUGUAGACCCUGACCGAGAUGGUGCUGCGUCUUAGUCAGCUGGAGUCUUUCAGUUAUUAAUCCUUGGACCUCCCAAUAAUUGAAUGGAAAAGUAUUUUCUGUUAGUUUGCUUAAAGACAGUUUCACUGCUUUUUGGUGCUGUAUUUAAGCCUGCAAUUUAAUAAAAGCAUUGAACAAGAAUUGUGUUGUGAUUGCCUUUGAAUCCAAAAGAGCUCCUGCAUUUGGCAAAACACCAUGGACGGGAGAUUGGCAAAUUGCUAUUUCCAGAAAGGGGCUCCACUCCCUCUGGUUUACAGCCUGGGGCUGCUCCUGAACCACAUCUUUUUUACUAGUGGCUAGGAGCACUUUCUGUAAACUUUGGUAAGGCAACUGCAGUCCAAUCUAUGGACUGGAAUAGCUUGGCCACUGUGCUUCAGGGGUCUGUAACCUCAAAAUUAGAUCAUUCCAACAUCCUCUGUGUGGGGCUUCACUUGUGCUUAGUUUUGAAGGUACUGCUCCAAAAAUAUGUAGUGAUGGCCACAAAGGUGCAUGGCUUAGAACAGGAUUUGAGAAUUGAUGGAGGAUAAAGCUAUCAAUGGUUACUAGUUACUAUGGCUGUGUUCCACCUCCACUAUCAGUGGUAGUAUGCAUCUCUGUACCAGCCACAGGGAAUGGGAUUUAGGCAUGAUCCAACAGGGCUUUUAUUACAUUUUUAUUCUAGGUUUGGUUAGUAAAUAUUCCAGCACUGUCUGCAGGGCCGAUUUUAGCCACGUAUGUCAUGAUUGUUUGCAGAAAGGUUCGACAUUUCAUACUUUCUAAGGCUACAAGUAUUAUCAUUAUUUCUGUAAUGGCCAUUCGCAUUUUGAAAUGACAUUACAGGCGAACUUUAAUCUAUUGGAUCUUAGUUGCUUCUGUCCCUCUUAGUUCAGCAGAGCUGUUCUAGCAGUGCUCUGAAGCAUAUAGCCAUGAUAUUUUCAUUCUGUUUCCCAUAAUUUGUUUUCAGUAAAAGUUUGAUUUGCUCCAGGCAGCCAAAGAUUCCCGAGAAACAGAUGGUUUCCCCUCCCCCAAAGCAAAUUUCUAACGUGAGAAAAAAAGAUUAUCAUAAUUGUAAUAUAAUACACUACUCAGCAUAGUAGUGGAGUGUGCCACAAUUCUCGUGUUUUUACUUGCUUUUGUCUCCUCUGAGCACAAAAAGGAAGGAAAGCAACACAGAAUUACAAUUUUCUUCUUGGUGAAAAAGAACAGAUUGCAUUCAACUAUGAGGACAUUUCAAUUGUCAUCGCUGUCGUUAUUUUGUAAUGAGUUCUGUCUAAAAGGACCUAAUAGAGCAUUGUUGGGGGCGGCAUCGGCAGUGCAUACACACUUUUCUGUCACUCAAACAUUUGUUUUCUGCUGUUUUCCCAAACAUCAACAUCGCUAUUUGUCAAGUAUGUUUGUUUCCUAUACAGAAGGAACAGAACGGACUUGAAAUUAGGGUAGCGUUAGAAACUUUGGCACCUGCUCGUGUAGGGAAAUGUGUACAGAACAAUAAGUAACAGAAAUAAAGCCUGUAAAUCACUUUAAUAAAUAAUAAAGGUAGUAAUAAAAUGUAUUGCAGUUAUUUGUUUUUAAAAAGACAUUUAAACUUACGUUAGUAAUACAUUUAUUCAUUGAGAUACUGUCUUGAUUUGUAAGAAUUGUGAAUGGAAAGAGGCUAAUUGAAGGCAACUUUCCACCCCUCUUCACCUUCUUGCAUUUAGUUGUACACCUGUUUCACUUUUUAUAAAAAAAGCUCCAGGAAAUGGGGGGGUGGGGACCCACCUAUAUAGUUGCGUGUGAGGGGACUGUUGGAAAGGAGUGGAGAAAAUCAUCCAGAAUCAAGCAGAGUCAUCUUGCACAAGAGAGUUCACUCACAGAAGUUGCCUCUGUCCAAUUUCGGGUGAUUUAUCACAGCACUCACCCCCCACCCCAUUGCAUGCUGUUGGGAGAGGACCCCAUCCCUCCAUUAUGCACAUAGUUUCCUGGACUUUAUUUCAACUCAUAGGCCUAACAUACUUCAGGCAGUGCUGUUAAUAUAAUAAGUCUUGAGGAAACAGAUAUUAAAGGAAACAACAAUCACCACAUAUUCCUAUUAUAAUUAUACCAGCCUUCUUCUUUUUAUUGGAUUUGGGAUUGUUGUCUUUCAUAUCCCUCUCCCUUAAUUCCUUCUGCAGCAGAAAUAUCUGCAGGCAACAAUUUUCUAUUUUCUGGUUUUUCUUCUCCUUUUCUGACUCUAGUAAAAUGAUGUCAACAAAAGACAGAAUUUCAGUCAUGGGAAUCUUACCUUUUAAAGAGAAAGAUGCUGAAUGUUUGGAGUGGUACAAGCUAACCUUUAAUUAUGGCCAAAUCCAAUCAGCUGCUGUUGUGGACAUAGUAGCUCAAAAUACUAGAACUAAGUAUUAAGUUAGUGCUAGGACAUAACAGUGCAAUGACAUAACUGGCACAUUCAGGCCUAUGAUGGCUAUAUUCAAAUAUCUAAAGGGCUGUCACAGGGAAGAUGGGGCAAGCUUGUUUUCUCCUUCUCUGGAAGAAUAUUGGGAAGAUCUUUCUGACUUGUAAGAGCUGUUUGACCUCAGGGACCCUUCCAACUCUACAGUUCUAGGAAUCCAUGCUUAUCUGGAGCCAGGCUGCAGAGCAAUGAAGUCACAGCUGUGCAUAGCUCUACAUUUUCUUGUCCUGGAAAUAAAAUCUCAGUAGUAGACUGUAAAACUGCUUUCAGAGCUUCUGAACAUUGAUGAGGGAGGGGGCCAUGUGUCUACAAAUCUACCCACCAGCUUUCCAGGAGCAAGUGUGUCUGGUCUUCUUGGUGAGAAGGAUGUUGGGCAGUACACAGCCCUCUCCCUUGAGCUCUUUAGUUGUAAUGAUGCUUAGCUUAGAGAUGUCAGCAAGUUCUCCUAAGGGGAACUUUGCAGGUUUGUUUCCUUUUUUGCCACCAACUUUUUGCUGAGCACUCUUCUCUUCUCUCUGUCUGAGUAUUAGCCUCACCACUAUCUAAAAAAUCUUCAGCUUGUGUCUUAAUUAAUGUAUGCAACGUUCUUUGCUGAAAAGCACACCUUCUCCCAUUUACCAUCUGGUGCUGACUGUUACAGAGCUUCGUUACCUAUAAAGAAAUGAUUGUUGGAUGAAAGGUGACAAGUGCCACACAGAUACGUUCAGUAGCUAGCAAAUAUGACAAGGGAGACUUGAAAAGCUGAUGGCAAAGUAAACAAUUCUGCCUUAGGUGGGUUGCAUUUGAGCAAGAAAUCCCCACCCCAUAAGAAUAUUGCUCUUUAUACAGAAACAAUGACAAAUAAUCUGUCAUGCAUGGCUCCUUUCAGGAACAUUCAAGAUCUUACACCAGUUGUUCAGAAGUGACAAGGACAAGUUUGGCUCCCCCCUCUUGAAUCUCUAAUGGCACUUACCUGACAUGGUUGUGUCAUAAUAACCUUAUUUUUUCCACUUCCUGUUCCACAGUGUUAGCUGCCACAAGUGGAGGCAGGGAUGCUGUCAUGUCAGGACUCACAAAACUUACUCGGAGGAGGGGGAAGAUAAAAAUGCUGUUUAUGGUAACAGCCAUCACUUUAGAGUUGUGUCUAGUUUGGCCCUAAGGAUGGAAUCAUACUUUACCUCAGCAGUGACAUGUUCCCAAACUCAUCUUUGCAAAGAUAUUUCAGUUGCAGAGAAGAUGGACCAUUUGCUGGAGUAUGCUUAUCUCUUUCUGUGUCCCCCAGCCCCCCACUGAAAAUUCAGUCAGACUGAUAUCAAACAGUUAAAAGUGACCAAGUUAAAAGUAUUUGCAAGGAAAAUUAGUGAUUGGGGGAGGGGUUAAGCACUUACUCCCCCAUAAGUUGUUUGUUGUUUAGUCGUUUAGUUGUGUCCGACUCUUCGUGACCCCAUAGACCAGAGCACGCCAGGCCUCCCGCAGUUUGGUCAAACUCAUGCUGGUAGCUUCAAGAACACUGUCCAACCAUCUCGUCCUCUGCCAUCCCCUUCUCCUUGUGCCCUCCAUCUUUCCCAACAUCAGGGUCUUUUCCAGGGAGUCUUCUCUUCUCAUGAGGUGGCCAAAGUAUUGGAGCCUCAGCUUCACGAUCUGUCCUUCCAGUGAGCACUCAGGGCUGGAACCCCUAAAACAACACAUGGGGGAAGCAGAGAGGGGAUCAUUCCAUCUGGCAAGCUGAAAUACUUCUGCACAUGCACCCUAAAUGAAUGUAGUGUUACAAAAGUUUACACCACCCCCAAUCUCUGCCAGCUGUAGCAUAUUACAGCAUGGUCAUCUCAACAGGAGCUUGUUCCCCACUGGAGUCCAAGGCAUUUUUCCCAGCCUGCCAUAAUUAUUCUCUCUCUCUUUUUUAGCUAUUCCAAGCCUGGUGCCAAAGGCCCCAAAUUCUUCCUGUGACAUCAUGCCCAGUUACCCUGGCAAUCUUCCAAAUACCCUGUCUCUGUUCACACUGGAUGUGUGUCUUGGGUUCCGUGACACAAAAAAAGGCAGAAUAUAUAACUAUAAGUAAAUAAGGGCCUAUUAUUAUAAUGGGCUGCAAUGGAUCAAAUCUCCAGAGCCCUCUUUCCGUUCUAGAUUUUUCUGUUCUUGCAAUUGCUGUUUAAAGGUUCUGCUCAGGAAACUUGCAUUACCAUAUGUGCUCAGCUAUGCAAGUCUUGUAAUUGGGUUAAGGACAGGAGUAGAUAUGAUUUAUGUGAUUGAUUAAUUCUGGGCUAUCUGUGGACAUGUAUAAUGUAUAAAAAAUGGGACCAACAGAUAGUUGUAUUUAGAGAAUUUAUCCUAGUUCUGUAUGAGGAGCUUCCACUGUAAAUGAGCCUUUUUUGGCUGAACAAAGAUGAAUACUGUAUACAUGUUACCAACGUGUGUGUGUGUGUGUGCGCGUGCACGCGCACUGUGAUGAAGCUGUUGUACCCUUUUUCUCACAUUUCGGCAGCCAUUUGAAAUUUCAAGCUUUCAUCAUUGCAGUUGUCCUUAAAAAAGAGAUACACUUUGAAAUUAAGUGAACAACUGGCAAAAGCUAAGCAGCUGAGCAAAAGCUUAGGACUUGAGGCUCAUAGAUCAUGAAGUGCUUUUGAAUGCCGAAUAUAGCAUCUGAUUAUUUUGGAGACUGGCAGUCUGAGAGCAUCUUCCUAAAAAGAGAGAAGAGAGAAAGGCAGAAUUAUUUAUUCUGUUUAUGUGUGAAGUACAAGAGAAAAUUUAAAAUGGGAUUAGCAUAUAACUUUCCAAGAAGGAAUAUGCAAAAGAAUUUUUUAAAACCCAACCCUGGUCUAAUUUCAGUUCUCCAACAAUAGUCUCAAGCCAUUAGAGGAGGAGGAUAAUGUGACCAGGCACAUUUCCCCCCUCAGUGUGUAUGAAAAGCUGGCAUGUUUCCUCAUUAGCUGCUAGCUGCCUUAUUCUUCACUGCAAUGUUAUUCUGCAGAAGACAUGCUAAAGCCAUCAAAUUAUACAAAAUCUUAUGACGGUGGUGGUUUGAAGAAAGAAAACCCCUAUUAUAUUGCUAUAGAUUCCCUUCCCAUAUUGCGUUUUAUGAUGCUUUCUACCAUAACAGGAACAUUCAGUGGCUGCCUUCUAAAUCUACAACCAGAUAAUUAGCUGGCAUCAGAAUGGAGCAAAGAAUCCUGCUUUUAAUGAUUCUAACACUAUAUUAAUUUGUUUUAGUACAAUUCCGCUGAGACAAAGAAAUCUGGAAACACCAUGGACUACUGUAAUGCACUCUAUGUGGGGCUACCUUUGAAGGUGACCCGGAAACUACAAUUAAUCCAGAAUGCGGCAGCUAGACUGGUGACUGGGAGUGGCUGCUGAGACCAUAUAACACUGGUACUGAAACAUUGGCUCCCAGUACAUUUCCAAGCACAAUUCAAAGUGUUGGUGCUGACCUUUAGAGUCCUAAAUGCCUCGGCCGAGUAUACCUGAAGGAGCGCCUCCACGCCCCAUCGUUCAGCCCAGACAUUGAGGUAUAGCGCCGAGGCCUUCUGGCAGUUCCCUCACUGCAAGAAGUGAGGUUACAGGGAACCAGGCAGAGGGCCUUCUCAGUAGUGGCACCUGCCCUGUGGAAUCAUAGAAUCAUAGAGUUGGAAGAGACCACAAGGGCCAUCGAGUCCAACCCCCUGCCAAGCAGGAAACACCAUCAGAGCACUCCUGACAUAUGGUUGUCAAGCCUCUGCUUAGAAGGAGACUCCACCACACUCCUUGGCAGCAAAUUCCACUGUCGAACAGCUCUUACUGUCAGGAAGUUCUUCCUAAUGUUUAGGUGGAAUCUUCUUUCUUGUAGUUUGGAUCCAUUGCUCCGUGUCCGCUUCUCUGGAGCAGCAGAAAACAACCUUUCUCCCUCCUCUAUGUGACAUCCUUUCAUAUAUUUGAACAUGGCUAUCAUAUCACCCCUUAACCGCCUCUUCUCCAGGCUAAACAUGCCCAGCUCCCUUAGCCGUUCCUCAUAAGGCAUCGUUUCCAGGCCUUUGACCAUUUUGGUUGCCCUCCUCUGGACACGUUCUAGUUUGUCAGUGUCCUUCUUGAAUUGUGGUGCCCAGAAGUGGACACAGUACUCCAGGUGAGGUCUGACCAGAGCAGAAUACAGUGGCACUAUUACUUCCCUUGAUCUAGAUGCUAUACUCCUAUUGAUGCAGCCCAGAAUUGCAUUGGCUUUUUUAGCUGCCGCGUCACACUGUUGGCUCAUGUCAAGUUUGUGGUCAACCAAGACUCCUAGAUCCUUUUCACAUGUACUGCUCUCAAGCCAGGUGUCACCCAUCUUGUAUUUGUGCCUCUCAUUUUUUUUGCCCAAGUGCAAUACUUUACAUUUCUCCCUGUUAAAAUUCAUCUUGUUUGUUUUGGCCCAGUUCUCUAAUCUGUCGUUUUGAAGUGUGAUACUGUCCUCUGGGGUGUUAGCCACCCCUCCCAGUUUGGUGUCAUCUGCAAAUUUGAUCAGGAUGCCCUUGAGUCCAUCAUCCAAGUCGUUGAUAAAGAUGUUGAAUAAGACCGGGCCCAAGACAGAACCCUGUGGCACCCCACUAGUCACUCUCCCAUCAGAUGUCAAGGAAAUAAACAACUAUCUUACUUUUAGAAGACACCUGAAGAAAAUCCUGUUUAGGGAAGUUUUUAAUGUUUGAUGUUUUAUCAUGUUUUUAAUAUUCUGUUGGGAGCUGCCCAGAGUGGCUGGAGAAACCCAGCCAGAUGGGCGGGGUAUAAAUAAAAGAUGUUAAUAUUAAUAUUAAUACUAAUAUCAAUUCAAAACCAUUUACUCUGAUUGACCCCCUUCCCCACACCACAUUUGUUGCUACCUUAUGCAAGCUCGAGUCUCAACAUAGACAACAAACAUCUAUAACCCUUUGCAGGGCUCCAAUGGGGUGGGUGGGUAGAGGGGAUAUACAUUUACUGGGCUAGCAGACUUAGCUUUCUUUCUUUCUUUCUUUCUUUCUUUCUUUCUUUCUUUCUUUCUUUCUUUUAUUAAGUCCAUAGGACAUUUCUGAAGAAAGAGCACCAUAAGCAGAGGUAGGCAGCACACUUGCUAAGGAUGUUCAGUGACUUAAUCACUGCUGCUAGGUGAUCAGGGAAGAACUGUUGACCACUUCUACCUGGGACUCAGGAGGGAGCCAUCCUGGAGCAGCAAAAAAACCCAGGAGAGGCUCUUUGCUGCCAGCCUGAUGCUGGAUUGAGGAGGAUACUGGGGUGUGUUUGCUUAAGCAUUUUCCUUUGUGUCCAGAUUAUUUCAUUUAUUCUCAAAGUGUGCUGUCUUUACAUUGGUUGGUUGACCUCCAUCUGUUUCAGGAGACAGUGGAAAAGUGAUAAAACACAAUUGUCUGGCUUUGGUAUGUUUUACUCAAAAGUAACUCCCUUGAAUUAAACUUCCUUCCUACUUAGAGAAAAAAAUGUUGCUUUUGCACAAACUAACAAAAAUUCGAGCUUUGACAGUUCCCCCACUCAGCCAGCCACUAUUGGUCUGCUUACCAUCAUCAGGCUGCUAUUUAGUAAUAUUCAGUAACCAUAAGCAAAAUUAUACAGAAUGAAUCAGCAAACACCUUACAGCUACAGCAAGUUAAAAUCCCUACAUUCUCUUUGCUUACAGACAAGUGUGGUGCAACAAGGGCACCUCAUCCUACUGACCCAUUAUCACCUUAUGUACAGGAAACUGGCUUUGGCCGCCUCCUGGCGAUGAUCAUAUAUUGAGCUAAGACUUAGCAAUGCGAAGUAGUACCAUAAGCAGCUGUAUUAUUCUGAAAGGACACAGAUCCUUUCUAAUUUAUGACUUGGAACAGAAAUAUUAAGUGGACCAGUGGUGACCAAACCUCUUGGCCACUGCAUCUUGGGCCAAGUCUGAGGUGUCUGAUACUGCCACUUUAAAAAUCCUGUCAACUGCAACUCUCUUUUUCCUGCCACUCCAGCACUAUGGUGCAGCAAAAAUUAGUUUUAUAACUUUUUCUUUUGUUUGCUAUUUGCCAAAAAGGCUGGCACAACAGAUGGAAGGGAAGACAGUUAUUCUGUUAUUUCUUCUUAAUGUUUGCGCGCGCGCGCGCGCACGCACACACACACAGAGUAUUUUCCCGUGUAUAACACGCACCCAUGUAUAAGACAACCCCUAUUUUUGGGAGUCCAAUUUAAGAAAAUGGGAGGAGAUGGCUCAGAGUUGUUGAGCUUUUUAGGGAGGGGAUUGCCAGAGUUGUUGAGCUUUUUGGCGGGGCGAGGGGGAUGCAAAAAAAACAACCCUCACCCGACUGACAAAGGCUGCCAAUCGCACACGAAGCCAAAACUGCCAAGCGUCUGCCUGCUCACAACUAUGGACGACAAUCGUAGGAACAAUUGUUGCAGUGGCAGCCAAUCCACAACAACCCUUGCCGCAGCCACCAUUCACCUACACAAUUGCUGCUGACAAGCUCCUGCUUGCGGCUGCAACCAAUCUGCACUAUCCAUGUAUAAGAUGACACCUGAUUUUGAACAUUACUUUAGAGUAAAAAACCCCUCAUCUUCUAUAUGGAAAAGUACGGUAGUUCAUGUAUUAUUAUUAUUAUUUUUUGAAAAAAAUGCUAUCAAAAUGCAAAAGAUAUUGUGUGAAAAUGACAGACAAACGGAAGUGAGACAAUAGUGGUCAGAUGAUUAGGAGCUGAAUCAACAUAGCAGCUGUUUAAGUAUUGUCAGGUUUUGUUUUUGCAUCCUGCAGCUUCCAAAAGUGUAACUAUGGUAAACAAAACACUUGUGCAAUUAUCAUUCCUGUGAUAAGUGUGUGUGUGUUUGUGUAAGUAGUGUUUUCUCACUAUGCCAAGCUUAUCUCUGUCUAGAAAAAAAUAAUGAAUGAGCCUUCUCAUGUUAGUGAUAGCACCACAGAUCCUUAAAGGGUUCCCUAAAGAGUCCAGAUGUGUGAGCUUUGCUGAUGUGAGAAGUUCUAUUGUAAGACGUCCAGCAGUUUGGUACUUCCUGCAAGGUACAGGUAUAGGAUAAUUUUAACUUAACCUGAGGGGGGAAAGUCACAGAUGGGUGGUGAUUAAUGCUGCUUUGUUCCUCAAAGUGUUGAUGUGGCAAAGUGUCCAAAUGCCAUUGUUUUCUGCAGUCUCAGGGCAACCAUUAUAGUUGCAAAAUUAAGCAUACUCUUAAGUGCUUUGUGGGACUGUGCCUCAGAACAGAUAAAGCUUUGGUAAAAACUGGUUGAGGAGUAGUGGGGGGGGGAGUCUUUGCUGAGCCAAUUUGUGUCCACAAAACAUAAUGCAGGGGCCUUGUAGAGUGUGUGUGUGUGUGUGUGUGUGUGUGUGUGUGUGUUUGUUUGUUUCUUAGAGCUUUUCUCCACAUGGAUUUCUCAUCUAAAAUAAAUUAUUGGUUUAAGUGUGAAACAAGCAUAAGCCCUUUGAAGAUGACAGGCCCGGGAAAGCUGAUCUCAACCAGACUUUCAGGGACAAGUGUCCAUUUGUCCACUAGGGGCACUGAGUUGGCAUCUAAGCCCUAGCCAUUGUUGUCUCUGAUGUUGUCUGGAGAGUCUGAUGGACAACUUGCUGGACUCUUUAAGAUACGAACAAUGACCAUUUUCUUGGCAUAAGUUCUUAAGGAAGGACUGCCAUAAAAAAGAAGGCUGGGCCUUCUAAGGCGGUACAUCAUAGCAGGAAAAUGGUAAUGCUUUUUUUACUGGAACUGGAACAUAGCUUGGAAAACCCAAUGACUGUCAGAACUUUAAAAUUUGUCAGAAGACCCCAGACUGUGGAGGCUCUUGCACUAGAGCUACUGGGGGCAAAGCACAUAAAAAAAAAUAUCCUGUCCACAGAUGUGCAAAGAAUAAUUGGUGUCUUUUAAUGAGGAGAUAAUGGCACUCAGCACAUUUAUAAUGACACAUUUCCUGUACGGGUCUCACUGUGAUGAAGGCAGCAAGGAUAAAAUUGCAGCCCUACCAAGUCAAAAUGUUACCAGCUGCCACCAGACCCCAUGAUGUGCCGCAUCAAUAAAUACUUAAAACAAUAAUAGUAAACCAUAGUGAAAUAUCAGCAGUUGGUCAGUACACAGGCCAGAGUCUCAGCAUUAAUGCACAGGGAAGCCCUCAGCAUUAUUUUUUUUUUGGGGGGGGGUGUUGUUAGAAAUUAUUUUUGUUUGAAGUUUGCUUGUUUAUUAUUCCAUCAACCUAUUUAUGUACUUUGGGCAUUAUGCUUCCAUAUGUUUAACUGCUAGCCCCCAUGUAAUAUUUUAGUUUUGAAAUAAAAAACUGAAAAUUAAUUUAAAAAAUUAUGGAGCACUUUGUCUAAAUAAAGACCAUUUCGUAUUCUACUGCACCAUGACUACUAAAUAACUCCCUGCCUGUUUUAUUGAUUGAUGGUCCUAGGCAUGAGCAGGAUCAACUUCCUAGUUCUUUGAUGUGGUAAAGUUUCAGAGUCCAGGUUCUAUACAAGACUACAGAAAAGGUACAAUGAAUUUGAAGGAUGUUGUCCUAAGACCAUCUGUGUGUAAACCAGAGAAACUAAAAUCUAAUUAAGGAUUGCCACAGCAGGCUUUAUGACACCACCACCCGCAUGAAGAAGUAUGGCAAUAACCUUACUGUCUCAAAGAAAAGCUAUAGGGAGCUUCUGAUUCUACCCAGAUGCCACUAAAUCCAGUGCCACCUAGUGACUAAAAUAUAUAAUGACACUAUACAUAAGCACAUUUAGAAUAACAUGCUAAUUCUGGCCCUUUUGCCAUAUUAAUGAGUAGAUAGAUAAAUUUAUUAAGUUUAUAUCCCACCUUUCCUCUAAGAAGCUCAAUAAUGGUGUACAUGGUUUUUCUCCUUCCCCUUUUGACCUCACAAUAACCCUGGGAGGUUGGUUAAGCUCAGAGACAAUGACUGGCCCAAGGGAUUUGAACUCUGGUCUCCCAAGGUCCUAGUCCAGCACUGUAACCAUUACACUACACUGCCUCGCUACCAAAACAUGCCCAGUUCCCAUGAGUAACAAUGGCAAUCUGUAAACAUCUGAACAGUUUCACAGUCAGAGUUGAAGAUUAACAUUUGCGCCUACUCCCUUUCUUGGCCAAAAUAUUCAUUCCUGCUUAAUUUUUCUUAUUUAUGCAAACUUCUGUCAGCAUUUGACAUGGCUGGCUUCACCAGAGUGUUUCUGAUGCUAACAAAGUGUUUCCAAAAGGGUUUGAGGGGGGAAAGUUAUAUAUUUCCUGUCAUUUAUCAAGAUAAAUUGGUUUCAUUGCUUUGUGGAAAAGACUCCAUCAAUUUAUAUGAAAGUGAAGAAAGAGGAGGAGGGGAACUUUUUAUAUGUGAGGAUUAAAUAAUGGCUUUCCUUAGCAGAUUUUUCUUCACUUUGCAUUCCCGAUUAAAAAUAUCUAUUUUAGUUUAGUCUUUCAAAAUGAGGAAAUGGGUCUGUGGUUGUUCGUUGUAAUGUUGGUGCCACGCACAGCUUUGUUACUAACGUUUAUUUAUUGUGCAUAUCUUAGCUUUAUAAAGGAUAGGUUCCAAAAAGAAGAAGACAAGAGCUAGCGCAUUUGAAUAAUGUAUCUGACAUUUCUUAAUACAGGGCCAAGAACUUGGUUUAUCAUACCUGAAAGAACAGAGCAUGCAUGAUUUCCACCUAGUGCUGUUCCCAUGUCUCCUACAAGCCAUUCAAGCUUUGCCAUUAAGAAAAAUGUCACUUACGUUUUUUUCUCUCAUCAUAAAAUUAAAAAUUCAAAGUCAAUCUCUUUAGCAUAUGACAUGGAUCAAGG